UACCUGGUUGAUCCUGUCAGUAGUCAUAUGCAUGUCUCAAAUAUUAUGCCAUGCAUGUAUAAGUAUGAACUAAUUCAGACUGUGAAACUGUGGAUGGCUCAUUAAAUCAAUUAUAGUUUCUUUGAUGGUACCCUACUACUCGGAUAACCGUAGUAAGUCUAGAGCUAAUACAUGCACCAAGUCCUAACUCUUUGGAAGGGAUGCAUUUAUUAGAUAAAAGGUUGGCGCAGGCUUGCCCGCUUCUCCGGUGAAUCAUGAUAACUCGAUGGAUCGCACAAGCAUUGUGUUGGCGAUGCUUCAUUCAAAAUUCUGCCCUAUCAAAUUUCGAUGAUAGGAUAGAGGCCUACCAUGGUGGUGAUGGGUGACGAAUAAUUAGGGUUCGAUUCCAGAGAGGGAGCCUGAGAAACGGCUACCACAUCCAAGGAAGGGAGCAGCCACGCAAAUUACCCAAUCGUGACAUGGGGAGGUAGUGACAAUAAAUAACAAUAUUGGGCUCAUUGAGUCUGGUAAUUGGAAUGAGUACAAUCUAAAUCCCUUAAUGAGGAUCCAUUGGAGGGAAAGUCUAGUGCCAGCAGCCGUGGUAAUUCCAGAUCCAAUAGCAUAUAUUUAAGUUGUUGCAGUUAAAAAUCUCGUAGUUGGAUCUUGGGUCAUAAAGGUUGGUCCACCUACUUGGUGUACACCUGCCCUUCUGUCCCUUUUGCCAGCGGCGUGCUCCUAGACUUAAAUGGCUAGGUCAUGGUUCUGGUGUUGUUUCUUUGAAAAAAUUAGAGUGCUCAAAGAAAGAUUAUGCUUUGAAUACAUUAGCAUGGAAUAAUGUGAUAGGAGUCUGGUCCUAUUGUGUUGGCCUUCGGGACCAGAGUAAUGAUUAAUAGGGACUAUCGGGGGCAUUCAUAUUUCAUUUUCAGAGGUGAAAUUCUUUGAUUUAUGAAAGACGAACCACUGUGAAAGCAUUUGCCAAGGAUGUUUCAUUAAUCAAGAAUGAAAGUUGGGGGCUCGAAGACAAUUAGAUACCAUCCUUGUCUCAUCCAUAAACGAUGCAAACCAGGGAUCAGUGGAUGUUUCUCUAAGGACUUCGCCAGCACCUUCUGUAAAAUCAGAGUGUUUGGGUUCCGGGGGGAGUAUGGUCGCAAGGCUGAAACUUAAAGGAAUUGAUGGAAGGGCACCACCAGGAGUGGAUCCUGCGGCUUAAUUUGACUCAACACGGGAAAACUUACCAGGUCCAGACAUAGUAAGGAUUGAUAGAUUGAGAGCUCUUUCUUGAUUCUAUGGGUGGUGGAGCGAUUUGUUUGGUUAAUUCUGAUAACAAAUGAGACCUCAGACUACUAACUAGCUACGUGGAGGUUCCCCUUCAUGGACAGCUUCUUAGAGGGGCUAUGGUCAUUUAGGCCAUGGAAUUUUGAGGCAAUAACAGGUCUGUGAUGCCCUUAGAUGUUCUGGGCCACACGCGUGCUACACUGAUGCGGUCCAUAAGUUUUUCUCCCUAGUUCAAGAGGAUCAGGAAAUCUUCUCAAAUUGCAUAAUGAUGGGGAUAGACCAUUGCAAUUAUUGGUCUUCAAUGAGGAAUUCCUAGUAAGCACGUGUCAUCAGCUCGUGUUGACUAUGUCCCUGCCCUUUGUACACACCGCCCGUCACUCCUACCGAUUGAAUGAUCUGGUGAAGUGUUUGGAUCGUGUCAACGAGGGUGGUUCGCGGUCGAUGAUGUCGUGAGAAGUUCACUGAACCUUAUCAUUUAGAGGAAGGAGAAGUCAUAACAAGGUUACCGUAGGUGAACCUGCGGUAGGAUUAUUG
rfam:Picea glauca, whole genome shotgun sequence.